rnacentral:rRNA from 1 species
AGCGAACGCUAGCGGCGGGCCUAACACAUGCAAGUCGAGCGGAGAACUUCGGUUCUUAGCGGCGGACGAGUGAGUAACGCGUAGGUAAUGUGCCUUCUGGUGGGGAACAACCGUGCGAAAGCAUGGCUAAUACCGCAUAUGUCGAGAGAUGAAAGCCUUCGGGCGCCAGUAGAGCAGCCUGCGUCCCAUUAUUUAGUCCUAGUUGGUGAGGUAACGGCUCACCAAGGGUACGAUGGGUAGCUGGUCUGAGAGGAUGAUCAGCCACACUGGAACUGAGACACGGUCCAGACUCCUACGGGAGGCAGCAGUGGGGAAUAUUGCGCAAUGGGCGAAAGCCUGACGCAGCCACGCCGCGUGAGUAAUGAAGGCCUUCGGGUUGUAAAGCUCUGUCGGGAGGGAAGGAAGGCGGCAAGCCUGACGGUACCUCGCAAGAAAGACACCGGCUAACUCUGUGCCAGCAGCCGCGGUAAU